rnacentral:lncRNA from 1 species
AUGGUGAUUAUUAGCAGAUGUGGCUGCUGUUUAUUGCAAGUGCUGGAGGCUGCUUCUUGGCCUCAUUGGCUGUCCAUACUCAUGACAACUCCAGCCCCAGUAUUUCUUGAGAGGGCAGUUCUUGCUGUACCCGUGAACUGUGGGGGCCACCUGAAUAUACUUCACGGACCCCAUGAAAAUGCCUUUGGAUUUGCCAAGAUGACCUCCUCCACCUGGAGCAUUGUGAUCAUUCACACCAUCAGCUCUAUUGCCCGAGAGCGUGGCAGACCUGGGGGCAGUCACCUCCGCGGUCGGGGGGCCGCGGCUCUCCCCAGAUGACAGGCCCUGGGGCCGGGCGUCUGAGCCGCGCUGAGCCGUCCAGGGUUUCACUUUAUGGAGCUCAUCUGCCCGGCAGGUCUGUUGUUUCUCUUUGGCAGUUUUAUUUUGAAAUAAUCUUAGAUUUGCCUCAGAGUUGCGCAGAUAGUGCUAGAGUUUCUUUUUUCUAUUUAGAUAACACCUAAAUAUGUGUGUGUGUGUGUGUGUGUGUAUAAUUUAAAGUCAUAUUUUUAUUUAAGGAAUUUUACCUGGAAUGCCUUCCGCUGCCAAUCACCUUAGUUCUGCCAAAGUCAGAAUCAUAAUCUUCAAAAUAGCCCUUUUGAAAAGAACUUUUGUUUGGUUCACAGUUGUCAACGUGAGUCCGCAAUCCUUUCAGGGGAACUUCUCUGAGGGAGUAAAGGAAACUGAGGCAUUCCCAACACUGUAGAGACAUCCACAGAAGAAGCCCUGUGGGGAUAGACCUCAGCAAUAACAUAAACGUAUUUUUAACUAAAAUAGAAACUGUAUGUUGUUUUGCAGCUCCUCUUUAUUCUUAAAUAUACGUGGGUAUUAUUUGUGUCAAUAAAUACACACCUAGAUGAUUAUUCUUGAUGGCUGCAAAGAAAAGACAAGUGGGCCAUAAUACAUUUAGCAGAUCUCUUAUUUAGGUUGCUUGGGCGUCUGUGCUGUUUAUAAUUCUUUACUAUUUAAAAGAAUAGAGUGAACCUGAUGUGAAAUAUUUAUAUAUGUCCCAAUGUAUUUGCAGAGUGACGAUUUCUAGAAGUUACUAAAUUAAAGGGGGAACAUUUUUUUUAAUUUUUUUUAAAUUUAUGAUAGUCAUACAGAGAGAGAGAGAGGCAGAGACACAGGCAGAGGGAGAAGCAGGCUCCAUGCACCAGGAGCCUGACAUGAGAUUCUAUCCCGAGUCUCCAGGAUCGCGCCGUGGGCCAAAGGCAGGCGCCAAACCGCUGCGCCACCCACGGAUCCCAGAGGGGGAACAUUUUUAAAGAUUUCCAAAGUUCUCGCAAGAUCGCCCCGCAAAGCUUUUGUCUUCCCACCAGCUGCACAUGAAAGUGUUUGUUUCAUUUGACUCCUAACCACGCUGGGCAUUCUCUGGUUUAUGUUUUCAAACUGGUUGCCACACACUGGGUUUUCCCUUUCCAUUAACUUCUAUGUGUUUGGUGACUAGUGACAGUGAAUGCCUUUUUUUUUUCCCCCUAACGUUCAGUAACUUAGUAUCAGAUGUUAAGUAAGUGAAACCCUGAUGUCUUGGUGAGUGACACAAUGCUAGGUGGAGAGGGCAUGGUGACCUAGAGGUCACUGGGGAGAGUAGGGCUCUGGUAGCUGGGGUCCCAAGAAACAGUAAUAGAAAAAUACGGGAGUGGACUUUGGGGAACAUUACCAACUGAAGAGCCUCCUUCCGGCCAGCCUGAGUGUGACCCUGGUGAACCCCUGGACCCAGCCCUCCAGCUCUUCUGCACCUCCACCUGCCGGAGGUUACAAGUCAUCUGGGAGAAUUAUACACCGGGCUGGAGGGGUCAGUGAUCGCUCAUGACCACAAGCCCCACGUGGGCACGCAGCACUCCCUCAUGGUUCUGCCACACUCUGCAAAAUGUUUCCCACUUUCCUAACACUUCUUGAAAUUCUUAUAUCCCCUCCUCUCCACUUGCCUCUCCACAGAAGAAGCCACUAGCCUUUGACUUCUGAGUAAUGAGAUGGGCAACCCCUCAUCUUUCCCUUCCUUCCUUCCUUUCCUUCCUUUUCCUUCCCACACCUGUCUGGCCCUACACACUGUUGUAAAAGUGAGACAUCCAUGCUGUUCUGGAAGGGCAGGCUCCUCCCCAUCCCAUCUGCCGGUGGUAGGCUUCUGCUGCCUGAGGCUAGUCUGUCUCUGCUAGGUAUCACCUCCUGCUUCUGCUUUACAGGCUCAUUCCCAGAGGCACCUUAGCACGGGCUGUUUGGUUUCCCAUCUUUGGAGCCUGGGUGGCUCAGUGGGUUAAGCAUCUGCCUUCCCCUCUGGUCAUGAUCUCAGGGUCCAGGGAUCCCUGCUCAGCAGGGAGUCUGCUUCUCCCUCUGCCCCUCCCCUCUCACUCAUGUUCUCUCUCUUUCAUUCUCUCUCUCUCUCUCUGUGUCUCAAAUAAAUAAAUAAAAUUUUUAAAAGGACCUAUAAGGGCACCCAGGUGGUUAAUCAUCUGCCUUUGGCUCAGGUCAUGAUCCUGGGGUCUUGAGAUCGAGUCCUGCAUCAGGGACCCUGCUUCUCCCUCCACCUAUGUCUCUGCCUCUCUCUGUGUGUCUUUCAUGAAUAAAUAAAUAAAAUCUUUUUAAAAAGAGAAAAAGGGCCUAUUAUUGACCUGUCCUACUCUACUGGUUACAACACCACUGCUCUGCUCUGUCUCAUAGCAAAACUUCCUGAAAAAUGUUGUCUGUGUGAGCUACUGUAGCUCUUCAUUUGAGUAGCUAUAUUCAAUUGAUAUUUGCUUUUCGCUUUUUAAAACCUGAGAUAUAUUAUGAAAUAGAGCAGGCCUGUGAGAGUACAUAAAACAUAAAUGUAUUGUUUAUAUGUAAAUGUGUUAUUUAUGCAAAUAUAAAAUAGGUUUAGAAUCCUGUGUCUAAACUAGAACAUCCACUGUGUGAUCAGUUCCUGAAUUACAUACCCCUGCCCCCAUGGAAAUAACCACUUUUCUGGUCUCUGUGAUAAUCAUCUCUUUCUUUAUGGUUUUCCCAGCAUGGUAUGUCUUCCCUAAACUACAUUAUACAUUUUCUAGUUUGUCUGCUUUAUAGGACAUAUUAUUGUAUGCAUCCUAAGCUAGUUUUCUUUUUUGUUUUGGGUUUCUUUUUUUAUCCCCACAACAUUAUCGAAUUUCUAUUGUGUUGAUGUGGGAAGCUGAAUUAUGUUCAAAGUAUAGUAUGGCAUUACAUGAAUAUAUUCAAACUAUCUUUUAUACAGUUAAAGGAUAUUUAUGUUGUUUCCAGUUUUAUCCACUUUUAUUGCUAAUACAAAACAUGUUGCUAUGAAUAUUAUUGUAUGUAACUUACUACAAGAGAAUCUCUAGGAAUUUACAUGGUGGGUAGUAAGUCUCUCCAUUCUCAGGCUAACUAGAUAGUUCCAUUUUCUCCUGAAGGUAGUUAUUCAAAGUACAUUGCCCAAAGCAUUCCAGGAGGAUUUCCACUCCUCUGUACUCUUAAUAACCUUAGUAUAGUCAGACUCCCUGUCGGGAGCCCGAUCUCAGGACCCCAGAUCACAACCUGACCUGAAGGCAGACACUCAAUCACUGAGCCAUCCAGGCACCCCAAGCUGUCAUUGCUUGCCUAGACACCACGAUAGCCUCAUAGUUAGUCUCUUGACUUCUGUCUGGCCUUCGUCUGGUCCAUUCUGUCUUCCAAAAGCUGAGUGAGUUUCUCCACACACAGAUAUGAUCCUGCUGCCAUGACUUUAAAUCCUGCAAUCGUCCCCACUUUUGACCACAAACCCUCAACAACCUGCCCCACCAUGUCUUUGCUUCAUCUCCUACCUGUCCCUUCUCUCUGUGAGCAUCGGCCAUGCAAGCUUCCUGUGGGCUUUGCUCAAGUAACACAUACUCUUCCCUCUGAAACACUCUUAUACCUUCCUACUUUGCUCCAUUAAUGCCUGCUCCCAUUUCUUAUAAAAUAUGAAAGAGAAGGAAAGAAGUGCAGGGUACAUUGAGACACUUAAUAUAUGUUUAAUUGGAGCUGCAGAAGUAAUGGGGAGGGAAACAGUGAAGAAUAAGAGUAUCGGG